ACCAUCAGGGAUUGCCUUAGUAGCGGCGAGUGAAGCGGCAAGAGCUCAAUUUGAAAUCUGGCGCCUUCGGUAGUCCGAGUUGUAAUUUGAAGAUUGUAAUCCUUGGGGUUGGCUCUUGUCUAUGUUUCUUGGAACAGGACGUCACAGAGGGUGAGAAUCCCGUGCGAUGAGAUGCCCAAUUCUAUGUAAGGUGCUUUCGAAGAGUCGAGUUGUUUGGGAAUGCAGCUCUAAGGGGGUGGUAAAUUCCAUCUAAAGCUAAAUAUUGGCGAGAGACCGAUAGCGAACAAGUACAGGGAUGGAAAGAUGAAAAGAACUUUGAAAAGAGAGUGAAAAAGUACGUGAAAUUGUUGAAAGGGAAGGGUUUGAGAUCAAACUCGAUAUUUUGUGAGCCUUGCCUUCGUGGCGGGGUGACCCGCAGCUUAUCGGGCCAGCAUCGGUUUGGGCGGUAGGAUAAUGGCGUAGGAAUGUGACUUUACUUCGGGGAAGUGUUAUAGCCUGCGUUGAUGCUGCCUGCCUAGACCGAGGACUGCGAUUUUAUCAAGGAUGCUGGCAUAAUGAUCCCACACCGCCCGUCUCGAAAACCACGGACCA
rnacentral:rRNA from 1 species